CUUGGCUCGGGGUCUCCCUAAUCGGAAGCUGAUCAUCUGUCUCUCAAGAUGCAUUAAAGCUUUACUGCAGAAGGAUCCGAGUGUCCUGUGUGGUUCUUGCUGGCGAGACGAUCGUGCAGGACAUCUAGUGCUGAAACCCGGGAACGUGUUGACAUCGCCGGCGCCACGGGAGACCCCUCGGAGGACGGGGCGGAUUCAGAACUGCAGGGUGGAUGCAGCCUCUGGUGGUUAACCAUGCUCCAGUGAAAGGCAACACAUCCGGAAAUACAUAGGCAACACCAACAAUGGGUUCUCUGCCUAAAGCUGGAUGUCCUGGAACUUGCUUUGUAGACUAGGCAG
rnacentral:lncRNA from 1 species